UGUUCUAGGAAAACAAAGGAAGAGGAAAUUGAAGAAUUCAGAUCAUCAGAAGCACAGAGCACUGGCUCGGUUCACUCUGAGGAACACGAAGAAAAGACGAAGCCAGCUACAACAGCCUCUUCCCUUCUUGCCACUCUUGAUGUGCCACCCAAACCUGUUCCCCGAAAGAGAGCAUUGACCAAGAAAACAAAUGUAGCUGUCGACAACCAACCUUCUAUUCAGGAUGCUUUUGCUAAGAAAAAGACAACGGCCAAACGCAGCAAGGCAGCAGCAGCUAAGAAUUCAGGUUCCAGUACAGAUGAAGUUGCCGCCAAAAAGCCGGCACCACCUGCCAAGGCAAAGAAAGCCACCAAAAGGAAGCCAUCCUCAUCGUGUACUUCUGAAGACUCUGAUCCAGACUUUGGCCAGUGCCUUAAAAAAAGAACAACACUUAAGAAAUCCAAGAAGGUGGAUGAAUCAUUUGCCAUUGAACUGAGCUCCGAUGAGGACUUACCUGCUCUAGCCAUAGCCCGUGAAAAACCAAGUCGGGCUAGGAAGCCAAUUCAGUAUCUAGAGUCGUCAGAGGAUGAGAUGUUCUAAUCUGACAGCAAAAUGUAUUUGCAUUUCUUUCCAUUGUAUUCAAAAAUGAUUUCUUUAGAAAACAAAAAACUGAUUCGAAAUGGUCUGAUGACACAAGAUGUUGUCAUGCUUUUGUCUAUCACUGUAAAUAUUUUUCUGUGUUGUUUGUGUGUUCCAACAAUCACUUUUAUUCUGAAUAAAAGUAUUUGUAAUAAAA